rnacentral:rRNA from 1 species
UACGUAGGGACCAAGCGUUGUUCGGAUUUACUGGGCGUAAAGGGCGCGUAGGCGGCAACUCAAGUCAUCUGUGAAAUCUCCGGGCUUAACUCGGAACGGUCAAGUGAUACUGUCGGACUAGAGUACAGAAGGGGCAACUGGAAUUCUCGGUGUAGCGGUGAAAUGCGUAGAUAUCGAGAGGAACACCUGCGGCGAAGGCGGGUUGCUGGGCCGACACUGACGCUGAUGCGCGAAAGCCAGGGGAGCGAACGGG